UACAGAGGUCCCAAGCGUUGUUCGGAUUCACUGGGCGUAAAGGGUGCGUAGGUGGUCGGGUAAGUCCGAUGUGAAAUCUCCAGGCUCAACCUGGAAAUGGCAUUGGAUACUAUUCGGCUUGAGGAGUGGAGGGGGGACUGGAAUUCUCGGUGUAGCAGUGAAAUGCGUAGAUAUCGAGAGGAACACCAGUGGCGAAGGCGAGGCCCGAGACAGUUCCUGACACUGAGGCACGAAAGCUAGGGGAGCAAGCAGG
rnacentral:rRNA from 1 species